ACACAAGAGGAAGGGGGACAUUAGCCUCCAGCAGACUCCAUCCCCAUUGCGCAACCCCGACUGGCCCCAGACCCGGCAUGGAAGGUUUGGGUCUGAGGAGUCCCACCCCACAGCCAGGUGACGCCCCAGCCCCUCCGAGCCCUCGCCCGCCCUGUGGAAACAGCACGGCCUGUGGCCAAAGGCUUCCGGCCAUAGGGCACCUGACACCAAGGCACGACACACAGAGGCCAGCCUUGCAGGACCCGCUGCUGCCCUCGCUGUGGGCCUCUGAGCCCUUCUCAGGACCUUCAGGACCUGUAGAAAGGUGGGGGGUGUGGGGGUGGCCUCGCCAGCCUGCCCUGGAGCAAUUCCUUCAGCUUCCAAGAUGCUGCAGGCUCAAAUGGAGCUCUCACAAACACAGCCAGGGCACAGCCCACCCCAGGGUCGGGGUCCGGGGAGCCCCCUCCUCUACACAGUGGGGAAACAGACUCCUGAACUUGCCAAGUCAGCAUCUGGGAUCCUUCCAGUCCACUUCGCCUGAUCACCCAGGAACUUCUCACAAGCUAUGUGUGCCCACAGCAUAUGCUGCAGCACACCAAUAAAAGGAUGCUUGGGAGCCCCCUAUUCAGCCCUGGACCAGGCCUAGGGCCCAGCAGAGCCACUGGCCCAGCCACAGGCAGGAGCAGGAGGGCUCCCUGGAACACCAGCUGGGAAGCAGUGACCAAGUAAACUCCAGAGACCCUUCCGGCUCCCUCACUCUGACAGAGCUAGGACAAGAACGCACCAAUGACUAUGGACCCACGUGUGGGGUCUCCCUCUGGGUGGAGUCGGGUGGGGGGUACCCACUGUCCCAUGUGGAACACGUGGUACCCCCUGCAUCUGAUGCCUUGCAAAGGACAAGCAGCUACCAUCCUCAUUUUCCAGGUGCAGAGGCCACAAGGAACAAAGUGUCCCCACCACCAGCAGGUGAGCCUUCCAGCCCCUCUCCCCACUACCCAGGCCCACGCCACAGGUCAGUCUUUAGGACCCAGUGUUUCUGGCCACCCUGGGCAGAGCUGACAGCCCCAGCCUUGGAGAGAAGCUGGCAGAGACUCAGAAAGAAGACGCCAUUCCCAGUCACACCACUCUCCUGAAGGCUCUCCGCAGCGCAAUCCUCAGCACGGCCACAGGGCCCCUGCUCACCACAGCACCCCCAUGGGACUGUGCUCCCGGGGAUGGCCCUGAGCCAGGGGGAGGACCCAGCCACUGUGUGUGACCAACAGCCCAAGAUGGGCACUAACUUGUUCUCUGCCCUUCGCUGCCACAGAACCAUUCAGGAGGUGGGUGCACUUUCAGCCCACCCGCCUCCCCCUGCUGGUUCCCACAGGGUGAGCGAGGAGCUCCCAGCACUUCCCUCUCCAUGAGCCCACAAUCGGAGGAGGGAUGGGCUGGAACCCAAGUCCACAGCUGCCCCGUCAGCCUCAGCACCUUCGCUGGGUGACCCUUCUCCUGUCUGAGCAGUCCGCCCCCUCAGAUACAACUGGGGUUUCACACCCACUUCCCAGUAAGGGUUAAAGACAGUGAUCAGGCUGGCAGGUGGCAUCCGGAGAAGGGAUGCAGACAGGCCAUCCCACAGGUCGCCAGCAAUGCCCUGCCUGCCCAUAGCCAGCACCUCACCUCAGAACCCACAGGCUACCAUCCCCCACAUCGGGCCACCUGUAGGCACAGACAGGUGGCCACACACCCACGGCCCCAGACCAAGGGGCUGCC
rnacentral:lncRNA from 1 species